rnacentral:misc_RNA from 1 species
GCCCGCGUUUUGCGUCGUGCUCGUAAAUCCUGCCCCCUCCAAGACACAUGUGCGUCCUCCAAAGCCGCCUAGCUCGAGCGUUGGGCCGUGUUGACGGCACGCUUCGUCAUCCGUCGGCGACGCGUCUCGGGAGACGGAACUCCUCGCCAAGUACUCUUCGCGCCGCUCCGUACGAACAGAAAGGUCGAAGGAGGUCAACCGGAUGACGGCCCGUCAAACAUAAUCGGCACUGAUUGUCUUCCUGUGGGAAAGGAGUUUGCUGGCGCAAAUCUCACUUUCUUCUUUCGUCUGCAGCAGAAGACCGACUCAUUGUCUCUUUUUUCCGGCUCAGGGCGACCGGCCAGGAGGCCAUGGGGCCAGUGGCGGGUCGUCGCCUCUGCUGGACGCUGAGCCUCAACCUCGUGGCGUUCGGCGCUCACCUCUGCGCUUGCGGAUGCUUCGUGUACCUGCCACCACUGCUACGAAGGGCCGAAUUCUCUGAGCAGGCCCGAGCCGCCGUGCUAGGCCUAGGGCCGCUCCUCUGCGUCCUGGGUGUGCCACUGGUAGGCGCCUGGAGCGAUGCCUGCACGAGUCGGCUGGGACGGCGUAGGCCUUUCCUCCUGGGCAUCGGCGCCCUGCUAGCGCUGUCUCUUGCGGGCGUCGCCUACGGCGAGUCCCUACGCAACGUGAUGGGAGCCAACGCCCACCGGGCCAUCCUGGCGACGUCUACGGUACUCCUGGACUUCGCCUCACAAGCGCUGCUCAACCCGUGCCAAGCGCUCGUGUGCGACCUCGUGCCCGACGUGGACUUCGGCUUCGCCGUGUACUCGUUCGCGUUGUCGCUGGGCGGCGUGUUGGGCUACCUGCUCAGUGGGCUCGACUGGACCAACACGGCGCUCGGACAGGCGGGGCAGGAAAGGGCCGUGUUCCUGUUACUUCUCUCCGUGUUCACGGCCUGUCUCGCGCUGAACCUGCUGGUAGCGGGCGAGAAACCGGCCGCGAGGACUGACGAGUACGUUGUGCUCAGCCAGGCGAAUGAUCACGAUGUGCUGGUCGAGUGCCCGAUGGACCGUCUGUUGGUGGUUGGUGCGUGUGACGCGAAUGGCGGACUGUGCUCGACGCCGGACGUUCCUGUGCGAAAGAAAUCUCAAGAGAGUCCAGGCCGCCAUCCGAAUGGUCUGGUACAACAUCUUCGCAAGACCCACUGGCACAAGAUGAGCACCAAGGAUGUGGUACGGACAGCUCUGUCGGCGGCUUUGCUGUUUGUGUGCAACGCCUUUUGCAAUGUGUUUAUCACCUUCCCGUCGUGGCUGGCGUCUUGCCUGCGUCUAGACGUCCUGACCAGUGUCCCAGGUCCGCUACGGACGUUGUUUGUGUUUCAACUUCUCGCCUGGAUGGCCGUCAUGUCCCAUUACGUCUACUUCACGGACUUCGCAGGAGAGGUCUUGUUCCACGGUAGGCCUGAGCAGACUGCCAGUCCUGCUGACAGACUCCUCUACGAUCGAGGGGUGCGCGCUGGAUCCUGGGGUCUCCUGGUGCACUGCGUCGCUUCGUCGGUGUAUUCGCUGUGCUUCCAAUGGCGGCUCACGGCACGAUUCGGGCAGCGUGUCGGCUUGUACACGGCCAUGGGCAGCUUCGCGCUUGCCCUGCCCGGUCUGCUGCUCUUCACCAACGUCGGGGCGCUGCUCACGCUCAGCGCCGUCACGGGACUGGCGUCUGCGGCGCUCGACUCCAUCCCGUAUGUCCUGGCCUGCUUCUACUGCGCCAACAAGCAGGUCUUACACGGGCCCAAAGAGGAGAGAUAGCACACACAACAAAUACAAUAGUAAUACAAACAGGAAGACACAGGAACACAACGCGAUUACUUCCAGGGAGCCAAGCACCAACCUGGCGUAGGUCAGUGCCUGGCGGUGCUGGACACUGCCGAGUACCUGGCGCAAGUG